CCGCCGCGAUCCCUGCGCACCACGGCCCUGCCCGCCACGGGGCGAGCCCGAUAAGAGGGCUGUGGACGUUCGGGUCUAGUUGGGAGAGACAGGGGUCCCUGACUCUUGAGCGGUCAGUCAUUUCCUCCCCAGUCCUUGUGGGUGACGUGGCUACGGUUUGGAGCAGCAAGCCCCCUCCCCGAACUAAAGGGCCUCUCCAAAGGUUAAGCCAGGGCAGUCAUUGAGGUCAAAACCAAUAUGUAGUUUCUUGACUGCAGGUGCCUGCACGACUCCCAGAAAGUCGCGUCUCCCCUAACCCCCAUGCCCAGGACCUGAGGACAAAGGUCUAGCGAUUGUCCAUCCCCUCCCCCAGUGAGGACAGCCGGGAAAGACCUGCCUUUGUUGUGUACAGGUGGUAUCUCACUGUGUUAUCCAGACUGGACUCAAAUUUCUGGGCUCCAAUGGUCCUCUCACCUCAGCCUCCCAAGUAGUCAGGACUACAGAAUGAAGAUCCCCUACAUGUCUUACCAGGGGAUAGGUGGGUGUUAGGAUGGAAAAGGGAGAGAGGAUCAACAAGGAAGAAGCCAGAUGAGAGCGGGAAGGGCCUCCAGGGUGCCCAUCCAAAGUGAACUCUGGAUUGGUCAGCAUCAAAAUGGGAGAAGUGAAACAUCUUUCCACCACCCCCAGGACUCGGUGUGUUUGCAUGACUGAUGAGUUGACUCCCUCUGGCUGUGAGCAGUACCUCCAGGUCCUUUCAGGGAAAUGGGCUCAAUUCACACAAAAGAAAGUAAAGCCUAUAAAUCAAGUCAAAAGAUAGAGCUCUUUAAAAAUUUAUUUACUGG
rnacentral:lncRNA from 1 species